CUCUGUAUUUCGAACUGUACAUAUUCCAUAGAACUACCAUAAAGGUUUUUUAUGGAGUUCCAUUGACACACCUUGUUUGCAAAUUACUUGAGACAAGAAAUCGCAAGCAUACAAUUAGAGAGACAAAAGGGGGGGGGGGGGGGGAGGGGGUGUAUUUCUUUUGUUUUAUGGGUUUU